rnacentral:rRNA from 1 species
CCUACGGGAUGCACCAGUGGGGAAUAUUGCACAAUGGGCGCAAGCCUGAUGCAGCCAUGCCGCGUGUAUGAAGAAGGCCUUAGGGUUGUAAAGUACUUUCAGUUGGGAGGAAGGCGUUGAUGCUAAUAUCAUCAACGAUUGACGGUACCAACAGAAGGAGCACCGGCUAACUCCGUGCCAGCAGCCGCGGUAAUACGGAGGGUGCAAGCGUUAAUCGGAAUUACUGGGCGUAAAGCGCACGCAGGCGGUUGAUUAAGUUAGAUGUGAAAUCCCCGGGCUUAACCUGGGAAUGGCAUCUAAGACUGGACAGCUAGAGUCUUGUAGAGGGGGGUAGAAUUCCAUGUGUAGCGGUGAAAUGCGUAGAGAUGUGGAGGAAUACCGGUGGCGAAGGCGGCCCCCUGGACAAAGACUGACGCUCAGGCGCGAAAGCGUGGGGAGCAAACAGGAUUAGAUACCCGCGUAGUC